rnacentral:rRNA from 1 species
CCUACGGGAGGCAGCAGUGGGGAAUAUUGGACAAUGGGCGAAAGCCUGAUCCAGCCAUGCCGCGUGUGUGAAGAAGGCCUUCGGGUUGUAAAGCACUUUCAGUGGGGAAGAAAGCCUUGGGGCUAAUACCCUCGAGGAAGGACAUCACCCACAGAAGAAGCACCGGCUAACUCCGUGCCAGCAGCCGCGGUAAUACGGAGGGUGCGAGCGUUAAUCGGAAUUACUGGGCGUAAAGCGCGCGUAGGCGGUCUGAUAAGCCGGUUGUGAAAGCCCCGGGCUCAACCUGGGAACGGCAUCCGGAACUGUCAGGCUAGAGUGCAGGAGAGGAAGGUAGAAUUCCCGGUGUAGCGGUGAAAUGCGUAGAGAUCGGGAGGAAUACCAGUGGCGAAGGCGGCCUUCUGGACUGACACUGACGCUGAGGCGCGAAAGCGUGGGUAGCAAACAGGAUUAGAUACCCGUGUAGUC